rnacentral:lncRNA from 1 species
UUUACUCAAGGGAAGCAACUUUGUGUUUUUCUCAUUGGAGAAUUUUAUUCACUUUAAAACAAGAUGUGGGUAUAUCAAGAAGACUUAAAACACAAGAGUUUGCUUUCAUGUACAAGAAUCAACAAAAUAAGAGGAGACAAUGAAAAUUUUUGUGUCAUGAUAUUUUCAAUAAAAAUUAGCUACUUAACCAUGCCUUUUACAAUAAAACAAAACAAAAGAAUAAAGUUCAAGGGAGUUUGGAAACACUACGACUAAAGA